UUCAUUAAGCACUCUCUGUUUCGUUUAUACCUUUUUUAAUGUGUGUGAAAUUUACAAAGACGUGUGGAACUCAUGUGCAAUUGACUGUAUUUGAAACCUAAUCAAAACUUAAUGUGUGUUCAGUCGAGUAUAAGAAGUUCGUUGGGAGAAUGUCGUCUACUUUGCUGGAAGUGACUCGGGCUGCACACGGGGAGGUCGAAAGAUUUUGAUGCAAGCUUGGCAAAGGUUGUUUAUUUCGGUCUUUUGAGGUCAGGGCCAUGUUUCCUGGAAAUCAAUCAGCAAUGCCUGCAUAAAUAAUUACUUCUCAGGAUGUUGGACUCCAUGCUAGGCAUAUCAGUACCGUGUCAACGGUGGAUAGUGGUAAAUCAUAACUUACAUUUUUUGUACCAAUAUCUUUAGAAAUGGACUAUGAAAUGCAGGUCAUUAUAUUUUGUUUACCGUUAACCUUUUGUUUAUGUCACCUAUUUGUUUGUGGGAUAACUAACCGAAUGAGUAUUUCUCAGUUGGGAUCUGGAAAAAAACCUGUUGGUGCCAUAGCUUAUUUGU